UUCAUAAAGCGAUUGACGUCUGUAAACUACGUUCUCCUAAAUAUUCAAAUCUUUUUAUUUUUUUCACCUCAUUCAACGUUAAUAAAUGACUUUAACAUUUUAUUAUUAUAUCGGUAUAGUGCGCUUUUGUUACUGUUUUUAAGAAUGAGUUUUUAUUCAAAAAUUUCAAUCGGCCAGAUAAAACUUGCAGAUGGAAAUUUUUUAUCUCCAGAGAAAUCGGUUAAAUUUCACGGAUUUAAUAGAAAAAACUACAAUUCUUCUGCAACUGAAAAUGCUUGUUUACUUGGGGAUAUUGAUGACGAAUCUGACUACAAUGGAGCAAUGCAACUUGAUCAAAGAUCUCAAAAAUCCGAUAUUAGCAGAGAUAUUGCAACAUCGGUCAAGAUUAAAAUUAAGGGGAUGAGUUGUCAAAGUUGCGUCCAGAAUAUUCAGGGUACAAUAGGAAAAUUAAAAGGAGUUUUAAAUAUUCGAGUUGAUUUGGAAGAAAACGCUGGAUAUGUCGAGUAUAAUACUCAAGAAAUUUCGGCCAAUCAGAUAGUAGAUAACAUUAAUGAUAUGGGAUUCGAUGCAUCUUUAGAAUCAUCAAAAAUUGAUGAAGUGAACGAAUCUAAUCGAUUUGAAAUCAGAACCAGUGUGUGUACCAUUCAUAUUGAUGGUAUGACUUGCCAAUCUUGUGCUAAUAGCAUUACAGAUCUCAUAUCAAAAAAAUUAGGUGUAAUAGAAAUUAAUGUAUCUUUAAAUGACAAGGAAGCUAAAGUAUCAUACAGUGAUGUCAAUAUUAGUGCAGAUGAUAUAGCGGCUUCUAUCGAAGACAUGGGGUUUGAUGCAUAUGUUAAAGAAGUUAACGGAAGUGCUAUGAUCUCAACAACAACAAAAAUAAUAAGUAAAGAUAAACAAAAUACAUCUUUUUUAUCAGUUAAUGGUGCUGGUGACCAUAAAAAAUCUGAAAAUUUUUCUAAGUGUUUCUUACAAAUAAAUGGUAUGACUUGUGGCUCAUGUGUUGCUGCUAUAGAAAAACAUUGCAGAAAAUUGUAUGGAGUUGAAAACAUUUUAGUGGCACUGAUGGCUGCUAAAGCUGAAGUAAUAUACAUGUCAGAUAAAAUUCGCCCUAUGGACAUAGCUUCUAGUAUUACAGAUUUAGGUUUUCCUACUACAGUGAUUGAUGAACCUGGAGCAGGUAUAACUGAAGUAGAAUUACAGAUUCUGGGAAUGACCUGUGCAUCCUGUGUAAAUAAAAUAGAGUCUAUAGUAAGUAAAUUGCCAGGUGUACAAUCAGCAGUUGUUGCUUUAUCGACACAGAGAGGAAAAUUUAAAUUUGAUUCAUCAGAAACGGGUGCUCGAGAUAUAAUUGAAAAAAUAAAUAAACUUGGCUUUACGGCAACUUUAUUUAACAAUAAUGAAAAAAAUAGCCGUGAUUAUUUAAAUCAAAGAGAAGAAAUUCAAAAGUGGCGGACAUCCUUUUUUAUAUCUUUAAUUUUUGGACUUCCAAGCAUGAUAAUAAUGACAUAUUUUAUGACAGACAUGUAUUAUACUCACAAAAGCCAUGAAGAUAUGUGUUGUGUUAUUCCUGGUGUUUCUUGGGAAAAUUUAUUGCUCUUUGUAUUUUCAACUCCUGUACAAUUUUUUGGUGGUUGGCGUUUUUAUGUUCAAGCGUAUAAGGCAUUGAAGCAUGGUACAAUGAAUAUGGAUGUACUAAUUUCAAUGACAACUACUAUCUCAUAUGUUUACUCAUUAUGUGUUCUGAUUGCGGCAAUUGCAAUGCAAGAGCCCACUAGUCCUCAAACAUUUUUCGACACACCACCGAUGUUAUUAGUUUUCAUCAGCUUUGGUAGAUGGUUAGAGCAUGUAGCUAAAGGAAAAACGUCAGAAGCAUUAUCAAAACUUUUAUCAUUGAAAGCUACUGACGCAGUUUUAGUAACUUUAGGAUCAAACAAUGAAAUUUUAUCAGAACGUGUUAUCAGUGUUGAUUUAGUUCAACGAGGUGAUGUACUUAAAGUCUUCCAAGGUUCAAAAGUACCAGUAGAUGGGCGAGUUUUAUUUGGACAUUCAGCUUGUGAUGAGAGUUUAAUAACAGGUGAAAGUAUGCCAGUAUCUAAGAAACCUGGUUCAAUCGUUAUUGGUGGAUCUAUCAAUCAAAAUGGACCUCUGUUAAUGACUGCAACACAUACAGGCGAACACACGACACUUGCCCAAAUAGUGCGCUUAGUAGAGGAAGCUCAGACAAGCAAAGCGCCGAUUCAACAAUUAGCAGAUAAAGUUGCUGGAUAUUUUAUACCAUUUGUAAUAAUAGUAUCACUAUUAACACUCAUUGUCUGGAUCAUAGUGGGAUAUACUAAUAUAAAUGGUUUACCAAUAUCUUCAGUACAUCAAACUAAUGGAUCGAAAAAAAAUAGAGAUGAAAUUAUUUUCCAGUACGCAUUCCGGUGUGCUCUUUCAGUGCUUGCAAUCGCAUGUCCUUGUGCUUUAGGACUAGCAACACCUACUGCUGUAAUGGUGGGCACUGGUGUUGGUGCUCUCAAUGGAAUUUUGAUAAAAGGUGGUGCUUCUUUAGAAAAUGCUCACAAAGUUAAAUGUAUUGUUUUUGAUAAAACUGGAACAUUGACACAUGGUACUCCUACCGUCUCCAGGAUAGGACUUUUUGUCGAUGAAAAAUUGUUUCCAAUAGCUAAACUUUUGGCUAUCAUUGGUACUGCUGAAGUCAACAGCGAGCAUCCAAUCGCCUCAGCUAUAAUCAGUUUUGUUAAAGAAACUCUCAAUACUGAAGUUAAUGGCCAGUGUAUAAACUUCCAAGCUGUCGCAGGAUGUGGUCUCAAGUGUCGAGUUAUGCAUUUAUCUACUAUGAUGCCUUUUGCUCAUAAAUCUGAAAAGAUACUUAAUUACGUAAAUCAAGUGCGACGCGAAUCUUCUGGUACAUUUUAUUUAAAUAAUGUUCCAGUAGAUAUAAUGACUUUUCCACUUAGUGAUCAAAAUAAAUCAAAUCUUGAGUUUGAUUUAAUUAAUUCUGAAAUAUCAGAUAGUCAGAGCAAUCCUAAAAAUCAUUAUGACGUAUGUAUUGGUAAUCGUGAAUGGAUGCGCCGAAAUGCGAUCACAAUACCUCAACAUAUUGAUGUAAAAAUGAUGGAACAAGAGAGUUUAGGAAAUACAUCAAUUUUAGUAGGAAUUAAUAAUAUAUUAACUGCAACCAUUAAUGUUGCUGAUACAGUAAAACCAGAAGCGUAUUUAGCAGUGUAUACUUUAAAAAAAAUGGGACUAGAAGUUAUUUUAUUAACUGGAGAUAAUCGGAAAACUGCAGCAUCUGUUGCAAGACAAAUCGGUAUCACUAAAAUCUUCGCAGAAGUACUACCAUCUCACAAAGUAGCUAAAAUACGUAAACUCCAAGAACAAGGAGUUAGAGUAGCCAUGAUAGGAGACGGAGUGAACGAUAGCCCAGCUCUCGCUCAAGCCGAUGUUGGUAUUGCUAUUGCGUCUGGUACUGAUGUUGCAGUUGAAGCAGCAGAUGUUGUUCUAAUGAAGAAUGAUUUAUUAGAUGUCGUAGGAUGUUUGGAUUUAUCAAGGAAAACUGUAUUUCGGAUAAGAUUAAAUUUUUUAUUUGCUAGUAUUUAUAAUUUAUUAGGCAUUCCAAUAGCAGCUGGGUUGUUCAGCCCUUUUGGUUUUUUUCUCGAACCUUGGAUGGCUUCUGCUGCUAUGGCAUUAAGUUCUGUUUCGGUGGUUGCAAGUUCACAAAUGCUUAAAUUAUAUAAAAAACCAACAAAAAUGACUUUAGAAACUCAAGAAUACUUAUCUACGAUUCCAUUGGAACAUGUUACGACAAAUCAACGCAGCCGAGAAAGUUCUAUUAUAAUAGAACCUUUACGGUCUUCCUCAACAUUAUCUAGCACACUAGCAUGAUGGCAUGAAUUUAAAAAUUUUUAAUCGAUUAUUAAUCUCUAAAAAUAAUCGCUUUAUUAUAAAUUGUUUGGAACGAAAGAUGAAAUCGAGGGCCUUCUUAUAGACGAAGAUCAAGUUGAGUUCACAGUAAAAAAAUUUUCAAAACAAAUGAAUACGAUUAAUAAUGAAGCUGUAUCAUAAUGAAAUUUUCUAUUUUAUUAAUAAAUUUAUUACAUUUACAUCAACAUA
rnacentral:misc_RNA from 1 species